AUUGAACGCUGGCGGCAGGCUUAACACAUGCAAGUCGAACGAGCGGCGGACGGGUGAGUAAUGUCUGGGAAACUGCCUGAUGGAGGGGGAUAACUACGGGAAACUGUAGCUAAUACCGCAUACCAUCGGAUGUGCCCAUAUGGGAUUAGCUAGUAGGUGGGGUAAAGGCUCACCAAGCCGACGAUCCCUAGCUGGUCUGAGAGGAUGACCAGCCACACUGGAACUGAGACACGGCCCAGACUCCUACGGGAGGCAGCAGUGGGGAAUAUUGCGCAAUGGGGGCAAGCCUGACGCAGCCAUGCCGCGUGUAUGAAGAAGGCCUUCGGGUUGUAAAGUACUUUCAGCGGGGAGGCGUUACCCACAGAAGAAGCACCGGCUAACUCCGUGCCAGCAGCCGCGGUAAUUC
rnacentral:rRNA from 1 species